rnacentral:rRNA from 1 species
GACGAACGCUGGCGGCGUGCCUAACACAUGCAAGUCGAGCGGGGUCCAUCCGGUAGCAAUACCGGGGAAGACCUAGCGGCGAACGGGUGAGUAACACGUGAGAAACCUGCCCCGAAGUCUGGGAUAACCCGAGGAAACUCGAGCUAAUACCGGAUGUCUUCUUCUGAUCGCAUGGUCGGAUGAAGAAAGAUUUAUCGCUUCGGGAGGGUCUCGCGGCCUAUCAGCUAGUUGGCGGGGUAACGGCCCACCAAGGCGUCGACGGGUAGCUGGUCUGAGAGGACGAUCAGCCACACUGGGACUGAGACACGGCCCAGACUCCUACGGGAGGCAGCAGUGGGGAAUAUUGCGCAAUGGGCGAAAGCCUGACGCAGCAACGCCGCGUGCGGGAUGAAGGCC